GCGUGAGCGAUGAAGGCCUUCGGGUCGUAAAGCUCUGUUGUCAGAGAAGAACAAGUACCGGAGUAACUGCCGGUACCUUGACGGUACCUGACCAGAAAGCCACGGCUAACUACGUGCCAGCAGCCGCGGUAAUACGUAGGUGGCAAGCGUUAUCCGGAAUUAUUGGGCGUAAAGCGCGCGCAGGCGGUUUCUUAAGUCUGAUGUGAAAGCCCACGGCUCAACCGUGGAGGGUCAUUGGAAACUGGGAGACUUGAGUGCAGGAGAGAAAAGUGGAAUUCCACGUGUAGCGGUGAAAUGCGUAGAGAUGUGGAGGAACACCAGUGGCGAAGGCGGCUUUUUGGCCUGUAACUGACGCUGAGGCGCGAAAGCGUGGGGAGCAAACAGGAUUAGAUACCCUGGUAGUCCACGCCGUAAACGAUGAGUGCUAGGUGUUGGGGGGUUCCACCCUCAGUGCUGACGUUAACACAUUAAGCACUCCGCCUGGGGAGUACGGCCGCAAGGCUGAAACUCAAAGGAAUUGACGGGGGCCCGCACAAGCAGUGGAGCAUGUGGUUUAAUUCGAAGCAACGCGAAGAACCUUACCAGGUCUUGACAUCCUCUGACCACUUGAGAGAUCAAGCUUUCCCCUUCGGGGGACAGAGUGACAGGUGGUGCAUGGUUGUCGUCAGCUCGUGUCGUGA
rnacentral:rRNA from 1 species